UGGGCAACCUGCCCUUAACUCUGGGAUAAGCCUGGGAAACUGGGUCUAAUACCGGAUAUGACUCCUCAUCGCAUGGUGGGGGGUGGAAAGCUUUAUUGUGGUUUUGGAUGGGCUCGCGGCCUAUCAGCUUGUUGGUGAGGUAAUGGCUCACCAAGGCGACGACGGGUAGCCGGCCUGAGAGGGUGACCGGCCACACUGGGACUGAGACACGGCCCAGACUCCUACGGGAGGCAG
rnacentral:rRNA from 1 species